GGUUUUUUCCUCUGUGUGAUUCUCUUGCACCUAAGCUGGCUCAAUCAAAUCCCUGUCCCCACACACACAACCUCUAGAGGACAGGAGAUGCCAUUUAACUUCAGAGCUCUGCUUUCUCCCAUUUUUACUUGCAUGGUAUUAAUUUUUAUAAUUUGUUUGUGGGGGUUUUCUGUAUUUUUUUAAUUAUUUAUUUAUUAUGUAGGAUUUAUUCUUUUAAAAGACCAGCCAGGAUUCUUACAAAGGGCAUGCCAAAGCAGCUUGGUAUUUAGUGCUUGGCUGCAGCAAGAGAGCCUUUGAUGACAGUUAUAUAUAUCUACAUCAUUGCUCCCACAACAUAUUCAAGGAGUUGUUUCUUCAUACCAAACAAAACUGUAAAUGAAAUAACAAGUGUGAGCGUGCUAUAAAUACGCAGCUUGGGUUAUUUUGGUCAGGGCCAUCCCAUUAUCUGUAAUGACUCCAGCUGUCCCAAGGACAAUGUCACACACCCUGUAUCCUUCUGCUAUGUCACCAACAGGAGCAGAUGUACUGCACUGGUGCUGAUUGCUCUGAAAUGGCAGCCAAGGCACAGGUGUUGGACUCUACACAGGCUUCUCUCAACACUGGGAAAAUAAGGAUGGAAAUACAGGCACACAGAUCUCCUGUUCUGUCCUGGUGAUGUGGGAGCAUGUGCACGAUGCUGGGGGAGAGCUGAUGGCUGCAAUGGACAGAACAGCCUGUCCUUGCUAGCUGCAGCUCUCUCAGGUUCUAUAUCAGUACAUGAAGUUAAGGAGCCUUCUCUCCACAGCAGAUGAACAAAUAAGUGCUAAUAAAGACUGAUAAGGCAAGAGGAUUUGUGAAACACUCAGUCCUUGCUGGCUGUCAGUUCAGAUGUUAAACAAAACCUGUCCUCUUGUGUCAUUAUGAUGUUUUGUUUUGAAGAAAAAAUGUAAUAUUUUCUGUAAACUCAUUAAAGGCCUGGAUUAGCGAA